CAGAGUCGUGAAUAAGAUAAUUUGAGUCUGACUUAUGGAGGGGAAAGUUAUUCUUCUUUACUUUAUGGUGCUCCUGCAGCUAGGAAACUCCAUUGAUGAUCAUUGUGAGAUGCGAACUAUUCUUUCAAGUCCUAAGUGCACUGAAUCAACUUGCCAGACAGCCUGCCAAAAAAUUUGGGGACCUGACGUCAAGAGAGCAGAGUGUAGGGUCGUCAACCAUCACAAGUUUUGUGAUUGCAUCAUAUGUUACUAGAGUUGCACCAAACCAUCAUGUCAAACAGUGGAAAAUGUUAUGAUCUAGUAAUAAAAUCCUCUUGUGACA